AAAAAGUUUCCCAAAGCAAGCAGUAGCACUCAAGGUAAAGAUCUGGGAAAAUAAAUGGCCAAAGCUAUCAUGCUGUGACAGCUCUGGAAAACCUUUACACAGUUUCAUAAAACAAACACAUCUGAUGUUCUAUUCUCUGGGUAGGUCUUUACAUUAGAAGUUCAUACUUAACACAAAAGGUGAGAAAAAAUGGUUCUCUUGCUCCAAAUGUUUGCUGAGCACAUAUUGGUGAAUUAAGUAUCAUUCCAGUGGUGUACCAUAUCAGUCAGGCUCUAUCAACACAUUCAGAUGUACAGCAGUUUUGUGGAACUUUUCUGCUCCCUUUGAUGUGUGUGACUGAGGGGAGGUGGAGAUCAUUUCAGCCUGUGCUGUGGGCUUAAUAUUCAAAGGAGCUACUUUCUCUGGAUCUCAAGAAUUGUAGAAAAUAAAACAAUUGUCUGCGGGCUUGCUCUUGUUUUCAAGAAGUAUAAAACAUUCCAGUGAACUGAUAGCUAAGUGUUAUUUCAUUUGCUUUCAACACCAAUAAUUGAUCUUCUUCUAGUUUUUAUGAACUAUCUGAUGUUUUCAUGUUCAGUUAGAAAUAGAUAUAUUGAAAACUGUUAGAAUUUCACCAUUUUGGCCCUGGAACCCAAAGAGAGGGUGGUGAUGAUUAAAAACACAUACCAAAUCAAAGUUAUGCGGGAUCUGACUGAUUAGCAGCUGGCCAAUAGCAGUGUUGAAAGUAAGAAAGGAAACCACACUUGCUAAUACUCAUUCAUUAAUUUCUACUUAUGUAUGUUGUGUUUCUCUUAAACGUCCAAGAGAUCACAGGUUCAUAAAGGAAAAAAAAACUUUACAGGAAUAUAACUCACAGGACCAUUCCAAAAUUCCAGCAUAAUAACAAGGAAAAUUGAUUUCAAGUGCUUCAUAGUGUAUGGAGCCAUGAAAAGUAAGAUAAUGCUGCUUAUUUCUCACAGAGGCUUUCACUGAACCAAGAGUAGAUGGAACUUUCUGGGUUUCAAGCGAUACAUACUGCGGCAAUAAGUUUGUCAGUAUCCUUUGGAUUUUCAUCAGUAACUGGGAAAUACUAAGAACUACACCAAAUUCAGUCCCUGUUACAACUGUUACAGGCAUUAUUACACCAGAGGGACCCAAUUACAACUUUUUAAUUCUGGGUUCUUUAUAGAUAACUUGCUACUUAGAUUCAUCUUUGGUUCAAUACCUCUUGGUUUCUAUUAUGAAUAGGUAAAAAGUUAAAACGCAAGCAUUCUCUGUAAUGUUAACACGUGAAUAGUGUUUUAGAGAUUUGGUUUGGGUUUGUGCAGCAGAUUGUUUUGUGAGACAGAGCCCUUCAUAGAAACCAGACUAUUUUACUUGUAUUCUUUGGCAUUUGCAUUUAUAAAAGCUACUCAUGUUUACACACACACACACAUGAUAUUGUUCAUGUAUAUUGUUCAUCUGGUAAGGAAGAAAUAAAAAAAGAAAUUGAUACCAGUCUGCAUAUGCAUUCAAAAGCUUAGUGAAUUCUCCAAGCUCUGCUGUGGAUCAAAUUUCAUGAAUCUGCAAUAAAAAAAAAUAAUCCUU